CGUGCGGUUCUAUUUUGUUGGUUUCUAGGACCGCCGUAAUGAUUAAUAGGGACAGUCGGGGGCAUCAGUAUUCAAUUGUCAGAGGUGAAAUUCUUGGAUUUAUUGAAGACUAACUACUGCGAAAGCAUUUGCCAAGGAUGUUUUCAUUAAUCAGGAACGAAAGUUAGGGGAUCGAAGACGAUCAGAUACCGUCGUAGUCUUAACCAUAAACUAUGCCGACUAGGGAUCGGACGAUGUUAUUUUUUGACUCGUUCGGCACCUUACGAGAAAUCAAAGUGUUUGGGCUCCAGGGGGAAUAUGGUCGCAAGGCUGAAACUUUAAGAAAUUGACGGAAGGGCACCACCAGGGGUGGAGCCUGCGGCUUAAUUUGACUCAACACGG
rnacentral:rRNA from 1 species